UGGGGAAUAUUGCACAAUGGGCGAAAGCCUGAUGCAGCGACGCCGCGUGAGGGAUGACGGCCUUCGGGUUGUAAACCUCUUUCAGUAGGGACGAAGCGCAAGUGACGGUACCUACAGAAGAAGCACCGGCCAACUACGUGCCAGCAGCCGCGGUAAUACGUAGGGUGCGAGCGUUGUCCGGAUUCACUGGGCGUAAAGAGCUCGUAGGCGGUUUGUCACGUCGUCUGUGAAAACCCGAGGCUUAACCUCGGGCCUGCAGGCGAUACGGGCAGACUUGAGUACUGUUGGGGAGACUGGAAUUCCUGGUGUAGCGGUGGAAUGCGCAGAUAUCAGGAGGAACACCGGUGGCGAAGGCGGGUCUCUGGGCAGUAACUGACGCUGAGGAGCGAAAGCGUGGGUAGCGAACAGG
rnacentral:rRNA from 1 species